CAUCCUCCGUGUCCCAGAGAGAUCCCUGCUCCUUGGCGUCGGUCACUGCAGGUUCCAAAGGGCUUGUCAUGGAAACAGUCACGAGAAAGCCCCUGGAUCCUGGUGGAUGUGCCCAGCACAGGAGCUCUGCCAAGGGACGGAUCUGCACCUGUCAUGCUCUCUGCCAAGGGAUGGAACUCCUAUUGGAUGCUCUGCCAUGGGAUGGACCUGCUGACCCCAUCUGCUCUGCAGGAUGGUAUUAAAGGAUCGAUCUUCCUUC